rnacentral:lncRNA from 1 species
GAAAGUAAAGAUUGCACAACAACUUUACGUGGAAACCUCCUUGCUCAAGGGAGUAAAACCAUGACCUGGCCUGCCAGGACUUUUCAAAACUUCUUCACUAAUCUUCUCCGAGCAAAAUGCAAAAGCAAGUUUACAAACAGGGAUUAACCUACUAAUCCCAACUCUAAGCAAUACCUCCUAUUACUUAGAUGAGCCAGAGCAGACACAGUACCGCUCACUAUACUAAUCCUAACUGAUUAAUAUAGACCUUUUAGAGUAAGAGCCUAAGUUACCCUUAACCUAGUUCUUACAAUGAUUCAAACGAGUUUGAAAGCAUUUCUUUUACAAGAAAAACUGAU